rnacentral:rRNA from 1 species
GAUGAACGCUAGCUACAGGCUUAACACAUGCAAGUCGAGGGGCAGCAUGACGAUAGCUUGCUAUUGUUGAUGGCGACCGGCGCACGGGUGAGUAACGCGUAUCCAACCUGCCCUUGUCCACGGGAUAACCCGGUGAAAAACCGGCCUAAUACCGUAUGAGGUCACAAGCGGGCAUCCAACUGUGACGAAAGGUUUUGCGGACAAGGAUGGGGAUGCGUCCGAUUAGCUUGACGGCGGGGUAACGGCCCACCGUGGCGACGAUCGGUAGGGGUUCUGAGAGGAAGGUCCCCCCACAUUGGAACUGAGACACGGUCCAAACUCCUACGGGAGGCAGCAGUGAGGAAUAUUGGUCAAUGGACGGGAGUCUGAACCAGCCAAGUAGCGUGCAGGAUGACGGCCCUAUGGGUUGUAAACUGCUUUUGUGCGGGGAUAAAGUGUGGGACGCGUCCCAUAUUGCAGGUACCGCAUGAAUAAGGACCGGCUAAUUCCGUG